AAAUGUGUUUAGAGUGAACGUGGAUGUUCUGUUCUUCAUUCAUGUUUGUCUAAAUUCUGAUCUCUUUCAGUGUGCCAUAAAUCCAAAAUAACUAACCGAAGUCUGUGCAGUUCCUGGGGAUUUGUGCUACUGUAAAUGAGAACAGAAUGGUCCUCUGACAACUCUACAUUUUGUUUCACAUAUCCCUGGGUACCCUUGUUGUGUGCAACAAGACAUGGAGAUAUGAGCAGCGGGAUUUUAAAUGGAUCUACAUUUAUAAUUCCAGUUAAAAUCAAGAGGAAAGGAGUGGAAAACAAACAGAACCUUUUUCUCUUCUGUGCCAUGCUCACACCAAAACAUCUGUCCAUCAGCUCUACUUCCUUCAAGUCCAGGAACACUGUGGUUAUGGGAGUGCUUAAAAAGCCUGCAUUUUUACUGUCAGAGGAUGCCGUUGACAUUCCUAGACAUGAAAAUACUUAAGAUUGCUGUAUGCUGUUUUUUGGUUUGUUUUUUUUUUUUACUCUAUAACUGGCAUUUUGAACUGUGCUGCCUGUAUCAAAUAGCUCCUGGAACAUCCCUCCUAAUCAGUUCCUUUUGGGAGCGGGAUCGUCGGGCUCGUUCUGAAGCCGUGCCAGUGCCGGCAGUGCAUGGGGACUACAGAUGAGAUCUUUGUUACAGAACCAUGAGAUCAAUUCACCAUUCCGGGCCAUGUAGUAAAUGCAUUCCUGACUAAACGUUACAUCGUUUUUAUUUUCCUGGGACAGCAUUGCACUGUGUCUCCUCUCUGAAAGAGCUAUGUUCAUUAGAUACAGGAAGUCCUGCUAAUCAUCCAUAACGUUACAUUAACAGCUGCUGGUGCGUCUUUGAAUGCCCAGUGAUGAGGGGAGAGUUUGCAAGAGAUUUGGUGCUUCUUUGCUGUGAUUGUUUUCUUCAGCAUGCUUCAGAAUCCGAAGUUCUGUAAAAAAAAAGGGCGGUUAAUCCUUAGGGUUGUGAGGAAAACUUUUAAAACAUGCACCAGAUGGAAAUCAAUGCAGUAGUGUCUUGCAAGCAGACAGAUAGGCUGAGAAGAAAUCUGAAGUCUGAUAUUAUUUGGAUUGAAGGAAAAAGAGCUGCAAAGCAGUCGUGCAACUUAGAUAUCAUUGAUACAGAAUAUGCAAGUCUGCAGUGAGCUCUGUCUCAUUUCACAUCAUUGAAAGCUUUGUUUUUGUCAGUGGCUCAAGAUAAACCCAAUUUUCUCUCCUGUUGAUUUGUGCUCCCUUUCUUUUGUAUAGACAACUUCCUUUGGCACAUGAUAGCUGACUCAGGAACAGAGCUGACCGGAAAAAAAAGAUUUCCAGUCUAUAGACAAUAAAUUUAUACUUCUGCCCUUGUUUUAUGCA
rnacentral:lncRNA from 1 species